UUACGAUCAUAUUACUUGGAAUCACCUGUUCUCGUACGAUCACCGAAGUUAAGCAACGUCAAGCCUGGUCAAUACCUACGUCGGUAACCGCUUGGUAAUACCAAAUGCUGUAA